UAGGGUGACGUUUUGUCCCUCUGUGUGCCCAGUUUCCAGCAGAAGUGCCUAAAUAAGAUGCACACACAUAAACAUUUGUAAAGUAGCUUGGGAAUUCGAAGGCAUAUUUUGCUUCCCUCUCGGCUCUUGCAUUCCGAAUUGAGUUGUCAGUCAUCUGGUUUCUAGGUGAAAAGUUACUGCUAUUUUGUAUGUCUGUGAACUUCAUGAAAAGUCUGGCCACGUGGCAAGCACCAGGACAGGAAAUAUGGGGUGCACCCAUCUCACAACGAUGCACAGGAACUCCAUGAGCCUGUGAGAUUGAAAGAUCUACCAGAGUCCGUUGCCAGGUUUGGCUCUGUCUGCGGUGAAAUGUGGGGCCCAGGAGGAAACAGGAAUGGAUCUUCUCAGCUAUACUCGAUGACUCUGCCGAGAUUCCACCUGGAAGCUGCACUCAGCUCAGAGCUCCUAAUUACCAGCCAGCACGCAGGGUUCAACCUUCUUUAAAAAGAGGAGGAGGAGAUCCUUACAGAUCAGAGCAAAACUUGGAAGGCUGCUACAGCAAAGCUCUUAACCCAGCGCCAGGUUCCCCACUGGCUGACUUGGGCAGUUUGGGCUGCUAUGGAAAUGUGCUUUAGCCUCAACAGCUUAUGAACAACACAAAGACACCACUCUCCAUGCCAGAGGCUGGGACCCGAAGAGCUAAGCGCUGGUAGAAUAGGUAGGUGUCUUGUAGGAGGCAGCAUUCACAGGGAACAAGGGCAAGCUGCCCCCUCUAGCCUCUGCUGUUCUGAAAGGCUCACUUUAUUUUUAUUUGUUUAUGCUCGCAUGCCUGAGGAGGCCAGAAGACAGUCUCCUGAGACUGGAGUUACAUGUGGUUGUGAGAUACCCAGCAUGGGAACCAGAAACCACCUUUUAGUCUUCCGCAGCGGCAGUGUGCAGGAGGAACUGUACCUGGUCACCCCGCCUGAAACAUCAUCCCACUGCUCUCCCACUACUGUGCUCCACACAGCUGGGGUGCUGGACCCUGAUAGAGACUCUGAGGGAGUGAAGAAAAGAGAGACACACAGGAAAGCUGGGAUCCAGUGAGGACUUGGCUACCUCCAGCAACCUGGAACUUCAGUGUUGUUUUUAUGUGGUUUUUGUUUUGCAAAGCACAGGGGCGGAGUUAGCUAGCCUCAGUAGGAGGUGUCUGUCUCUGAGCAUCUCAGGAUGUAAACAUCUGGAAGAAGAGGAAGCCACCAAUUUUCAUACAGACUGGUUACCCUCUCACUCUCAGACUCCCAAGGAAAGCUUUGCCAUCUCCUUGAGCCUGAUCCAAGUAAGGCUUUGCCACUCGGGUGGGGCUAAGGCAUUGGAACACUUGAUGUGGCAGUGCCCGUGUGAACAGUACACACUCACUCAGGACUUCUCAGGGCUCUCUCUGCUCCUGACACCCCAGCCCCUACUUUGUUUUUAAGCAUAUUUUUUUGUCGAUUCUUUAAGAAUUUUAUAUCAUGCACCCCAAUUCCACUCAUUUCCCAAUUCUUCCAUUUCUGCCUUCUACCCUUGUAACAUCCCCUCAAAGGAAAAAAAAAUCUCACUGAUCCCUCUAGGCAGGACCUGCUUCCCAAUCUAUCAAUCACAGCCUUCUCACGCCUGUCACAGCUGUUGUGUCUCCAGUUCCUCUGUGCAUGGACCAUUCUGCUCCUCCAUCUUUCCUGCCUCUCCAUCACAUAUUUGCCAUUGGGAUCUGUGGUGUGUAACACAGUAGACCCUUUUGCCCAAACAGCUUUACAUGCAAACACUCAUUGCAAUGAGUCAUUGGUCUGCUUCAAGGCCUCUGGCUGUUGCUACACCAUCAGUACCAGACCUUCAUCCAGACUCCUCUCAGAUAUCCUACUGUUGCCCCAAGUCAUAGAGAUCCUCAGCUAUGGUCACGAAGGACCAGCCCUUCACUUGAUCCAGCAAGCUCAUAAAUGGGGUGGAUAUUGGGGUGGACCAACUCAAAAUCCUGGGAUGUGGGCUUGGGUGGUAGAUGAGUUGGUCAGCCCACAAGUUCUUCCAUGAAGAAACCACUGGGGCCAGCUCUCCCAUCCUGCUCAGGUGAGGGGCAGAGCCAGCUCUCCUGCAUGUGAUGGCCAGAGAGGGGCAGGACCAACUCUGUAUAUCCCUAGGACACCAACAUGACUUCAAGUGUCAGCCCAGACCACGGACAUCUGCAUAGCCUUUGGUGGCAGCAUGGGCCAUGGACAUCAACAUAGACUCAUAGACAGCUGUGUGUGGCAAGGCCAUGGACCCAGACAUGGCCCUCGUCAGCAGCACAGGCCUGGGUAUCACCAUGACCUCAGGUGGCAGCACAGGCCAGCAUCAGGCUGUUCCUUACCACCCUUGUGUCUCCAGUUUGGCCUUUCUUCACAGUACACAAACCACUCUACUUGCUUUCUCUCCCCUCUCUCUACCACAUACUUGCUCAUUGUUGUGGCACUUGCCUGUUUUGUUAUUUUUUUUAAAGAGUUGUUUCCAGUAUCUAAAAUCAUUAUAUUAUUGAAUUAUUACGUUCCUUUCUGUCUGUUCUGGUUUGAAUGCAAACUCCUAAAGGAUAGAAAAUUUAUAUGUUCUGUUCAGUAUCCUCAUCACUUCCUGGACACUGAUAGUAUAUGCAAAUAUUAGCAAAGUAAAUUUACUUUUUUUCAAAUAGGGAAGACUUACAGAUUGCAUGUGUGGUUUAUGUCUUCAGCAUAUUCUCUCUGCCCCUCUCUCCCCCCCUUGUGUGUG
ensembl:lncRNA